rnacentral:tRNA from 1 species
GCGGGUAUAGCACAAUGGUAGUGCAGCAGCCUUCCAAGCUGAGUGUGUCGGUUCGAUUCCGUCUACCCGCUCCA